rnacentral:lncRNA from 1 species
UGGUACUUGAUGGCUGUUUCAGAGAAGGAAACAACAUUCCUCUGAUGCUAACUGGUGCUUCUGAGAGCAAAAUGUCAGGGAGGAGAGAAGCAUGGCCUCUCGAGACAAACCCAGGCUGCUAAGAAUGUAAGCUCUGGUCUCACUUUGCGUUCCAGCCAAACACCUAAGUGCUCCUUUCUAUGACCAAAGAAUUCUUCACUGAUUAAAAUCUGGUUACAAAACAAGGGACCUAGAGAGAUGUUCACUUCACCACUUCUCUACAGAUGCCUCCUGCUGCUUCCAACUUUUCUCCUUUAAGGCAGGGUGAAUCCAAAUCAUGGUCUUAGCCCUGAAGGAGGCACCAAAGCAGUUUCGUUGCCCUGUGAAAAGCUUCUAGAGGAGCUCAUCUGAAUGCUUGAAGAAACCAGCCGCCCUUGCAAUUACCUAAAAGGAAUUGAGUCAUUUUAACAAGACAUUAUUUCUGCCAUCCACGGUCACAAUCAUCUCUUUGAAAAAUAAAUACUCUUGGUUUGUUGUU